ensembl:lncRNA
AUUUAGCCUAACAUUGGGUACACUGCCAGGAAACAGUACCCCUGCCCCCACUGGACCAGUUGGCCGAAACUCUGAGGUUCUUGCACAUGUAAAGCACUUUUAUAAAUUCUCCACGCUCCCAGCUCCAUGUCUGCUCAGCACAGGGCUUGCCUCUUUGACCAUCUCUGAAAUAGCACCUGCCUCCCAUCUCUCUUCAUUCCUUUAGCUGACUAUUUUUAUCUUCAGAGCACUUGUCAUCACUUGACAGCUUGUGUAUUUAUUUGUUUACUGUCUGCCUGUCACCUUCACAAUGCACUCCCUGGGAAAGAAUGGAUCUGUCUAAUCCCUGCUAUGCUUCUGUUGCCUAAGGGGGUCUCUGACAUACGGUGUUUAUGGAGCAAAUGAAUGAAGCCAAGGAGCUGUUGUUGACCACCAGGAACUGAAACGAGGGAAAGUAUAACCAUGGAUAAGAGAGGAUUACUGCAUAUCUAUACUGUGGGAUUCUACUCAGCAGUAAAAAGAAAUGAGCUAUUGACAUACAUAACAAUGUGGAUGGACCUCUGAGGCUCUACGUUGAAUGAAAAAAAAAAGGUCCAUACCCAGGCUUUGAAGUCCGAGGCAUCAAAUGACACAACUCUGUAUGGCUCCUCAAUUGCAGCCACAGGAAAGAUUCUGGACUGGGACCAUCUAGCUGAGUGACUCCUCCAUUCUUACCUCCAUGAAGAUGUGAUGUCUCCCUCCUCCUCAUGGCUUGUGACUUUGGCCUGCUGCCUGGUGCCACUCUUCCUGGAUUGCACUCCCCAGUGUUGGGCACUCAAAAGGAAAUCAGAUGGAGCCUCGAGAAGGCCACAGUAAUCAGUUCAAUGUGAAAUUAUUACAAUAGAGGUACAGUGCUCUGGAGUGCAGCUUAUCAAGGAGGGAGCAAGCAGAUAAGUUGUACAGCAAGAAGAUGGAGUAGUCACCAGGUUGUUUUGUCAACUGUAAUUGGAUCCCGUACUCUACCCACAAUAAUGGUGUUCCUGGGAAGAAGUCAUGAGCUUUGGGCAUAUGUAACCCUCUUAUGCAUUACUAGUAGUGAGUUGAACAAAAUCCUUCCAGAUUUGCUAAGCUGAGGUCCCAGGCCUCACAGGUUUGUCAAUGACACCAAGGCAAGUCUUGAUUAAGGUUGAUAAUGGUAACUUACAGUUAAUACUGAUGAAAUUAUUACUUUUCAAGCUUUGAUUACAUUAUUUUUUGAGUAGGCCACACUUUCAGAAGAUAUAAAAUAUUGUUCAGUGAAAACUCUUUUCUCCAUCUGUUUCCCUAAACAUGUGUUUCCUUUUCUUGGAGGCAACCAAUACUACAAUUUCUUGAGUCUCUUCCAGAAAUAGUGUAUGCACAGACAAGCACUCACAUAUGCAAUCUUAAAGAAAAUUUGAUUAGUGUCAGAUUUUUAUAUCAAGGAUAACAUUAACAAUGAAUUUUCUUCUCUUCAGGGAGAAAUAGUUAUUAGUUUUUCAAAUUGCAAAAUAAUGCAUAUUCAUUACAGAAAACCUAGAAAAUACAAAAAACAGAAGACAAAAUGAAUAUUCCCUUUAUCUCAGCAUUUGGAGAUGAUUUUUAUUAUUAUUAUUAUUAUUUGGUAUGAGGAAUUGAACUCAGGACCUGUGCUUGCCAGACAGGUGUAGUGCCACUGAGCUAAAUCCCUGGCCCUUUGGAGAUAACUUUUAGUUAUCUAUAAUUAUUUAUAUUGCCUUCUAGUUUUUUCACAUGACAUGUACAAUAUACUUCAUUGACAUUUUUUCUUUUCCCUCACUAUAUUGUUUCUACCUUUGCAAGUCAUUAAAUGUGUUUUCUAGACAUCAUGGCCUGUUCCUGUAUAGCAUAAUUUAUUUAACCAUGAUCUCUUGUUUGAAAUUCAGGUUGACUACAGUUUUGGACCAUUAUAAGCUUUCAUUUGAUGUAUAUUUAGCUUUUAUUUAUUGAUGGCUUUAUAAAUUAAGUGCAAAUUGUCUAGGGAGAAGGCUGUCUUUGUCUUGAUGACAUAUAUCCCUCGAGUACAGUGCCUAGCUAAAUGGAUUUAAUGGUUUUAAGACCAUAUCUGCAAUAAAAAUGAAAGGUUUAAGUAAAAUUAACCAGAAGGUUUUGAGUUUCUGGUGUAAGUUGACUUUUGGAAGAUAGGAUAGUAUUCUUUCACUUAGAGCUACAAAUUCUGUUUGUUCUCUUUUAUAGAAGGAAGAAUUGUGAGUUGGGAUCUUAAAUAGAAGAACAAAGUUAAAAAAUGGGCCUCAAUUUUUAUAAACCUAACCCUCUGCAAUUCCCCUUGUUUUGAGACAAAGGAGAACAUUUUACACCACUGGAAUAAACAAACUGUAGGGAUACCUACACCAGCUGAAAAACAACAGAUAAAACACUCUCUGCACAAGUAAUUGUAAGACCACACCUUUAACACAUUACCAAUAGCUGCUUUCUCAAAACAUUUCCUUGUUCCUUGGGGGAAGUCACUUUUAAAUGAUAGUUAUAGUGCUGGUGAGGUAGCUCAGUGGUAGAGAACUCAAGGCCUUUGGUUCAGUCCCCAGGACCAUCAAAUAAAAAAGGUGAUAGUCCAUAGACAAUUGGGCUCUUGUUUUUUGUUAUUGUAAACUAGGCAACACAAUUUUUGGUACUUGUUCAGUCUGUAAAGAAAUCCUUCCCAUCCCUAACUGUGAGUCUCCACAGUGGAAAGAAAGAAAGGUGCCUCCAGGACAAAGAACAGAUAAAUGAGAAGGAGGACAGAGGACAUUCCAUUCCUAACUCAGCCAAAGGUUGACAUUUCACAAAGAAUAUGUGGACAUCCAUGUUGUGUUGACAAAGCCCCAUGCCUGGGUACCGAGGUGUCCACAAGGAUGAGGGGACACGGAGCGCCCAGUUGUUGUAGCCACAGUAGCAGGGACGAUUGAACACUUGGGCACCUGAUCUUGUUCUUCCUUUCAAAGGAACUUGCACGGUCAUUCAGGCUGGGUUAGAGUUGUGCAGGUGGAAAGAAAUCUGCUGCACACGCCUUGGACUUGGAAUACAUUUUCAGAGAGAAGAGAAAUAGUCCCAGGUCCCCU